GUUUCAGGGCGGGGUGCAAUUCCCCACUGGCGGUAACGGCACUAGAGCACAAGGCUCUACAAAGCCGAAGUCCGCGAGCCGCAAACGCGGUUGAUCCGGUGAGAUUCCGGAACCAACGGUAACAGUCCGGACGGAAGAAA
rnacentral:ncRNA from 1 species